CAAGAACAUGCUGUUUCCUCAAACCCAAGCGAAAACAAAAACCGCUCUCGAGGUUUUCUUUGAAGUACCCUGUGUAAACAUACCUCUGAUUGGGACUCACUGAUGUAAUGGACAAACAAGCACAAAAUGUGUCGAUAUCCAGAUCAAAUCUCCCAGGUGAGCAAUGGCUUGGACCUGCAGAGUUAGCUGGAUGUCUCGUUCUCUUGGCUUCAGCCUGGAAAAGUGCUGAUCAUGGAAGGGGUGCUGGAGGAGCUCUCUCUUGGGCAGAUGGUAGGAAGACAGGGGGAGUAGUCACCCUGCUGCUUGGCCAACAGGGACACACACACAGACGCAUUCACAUACGGCACACCCACACAGGAAACAUUAGAACAACGAUUUGUCAUAGUCUUUCAUUUCGACGGAGGAGUUCUUUUGUUGUUGGAAAUAAGCCUUGUGAGUUUAUUAUUAUCUUCCUCUGAGUCAGUACGUUUAAGAGUUCAGCAGACACCUCUUGUGAUGGUGACGGGCCGUUCUUCUUUCUCUAACUGUCCACAAGCUAUUUAUGAAGAGUUACUCUCAAACUAGCCAUCAAAGUUUUCUUGUUUAUUUCGACAGCUUUUAUGAUGCCAGAACAAAAGAAGCAAACACACAUCUUGCAUAGCAGGGCUCAAACGAUAAGUGUUGUUUUUAGUGAUAGACUGAUAUAUCAGACAGCCUGAUUUUCAAAACAACAUUUGGCAGUUUUUUAGAUUAUCGGCAUCUGUCAGUUAAAUUUUUAGCUACUAUAUAUGCUUACUAGAUGAUGUCAUUGGAAAAAAAAAAAAAAAUCUUGUUUAGAGACUUUAUCUCUCUCUCUCUCUCUCUCUCUAUAUAUAUAUAUAUAUAUACACAUAUUGAACAGUAAUAUGUUAUGUCAGUUAACAAAAACAACUUACUGUACACCGUAUAGCACAGUAUUACUGCACCAUAACUCUAAACUUUUGCUGGCAUUAAAUACAUAAAAACUCAUGUACAUGAUCUGCAAAUAAGAAAUUGUUGGAACCGUAAGCACUGGCAGGUGACAGUUCCAUCAACUGGCCCCAAACUCUCUCACAUUAGCCCUUAUCCUCAUCAUUGCGCUAUGCCUAGACAGAUCUGCUUAAAACAUCCUUGACAACAAAUGGCGAGGGAUGCAGAUUGUGGCUGUCUUGUCUGUUAGACUGGUGGUAUCAGGAGGGGCGUCUUCAGAUUUGAGAUCCCUGUAGCUAAGCUUACGCAUUUGACUCAGUUCCACGUAACCCAACAUGCUGUUCGACACUAUCCAUCCGCUCCCAUAUGGUUAACCUGGGCUGUGGCUUUGUCAGCUUCCAGGUUUUUUUUUCUUUCUUUCUUUUUGUCAGCCUUAAAAACAGACAAACACAGUGAGAGGUGGGCUAAUUACCACAGGCCUUCCUGUAAUUACUCUUCCAGAGCAGCAGUCAGGUUGGGUACAGACAGAUCUGCUGUCUCUCUUACAUGCUUAUCUGCUGCUCACCAGACAGCUCACAAGUUCUACGUGGAUUUGAGGUUCAGCUCGUCCAAUGAGUCGAGAGUCAGGAGUUGUCAAACAUGGUUAUGGUGACGUUUCGAUCUUCACACUCUUGCGUGCCAGACAUUGGCCAUGGUUUUCAUAGCAGUAAUUCAGCAAAGAAAUAUUUCACUUAGUAAAAAAAAGUCUAAGUUAAUGUGUCUCACUCCCCUAGCAGAUUCCUCAGAAAGUGCUUUUAGAGUUGCGUUAGAGAGAAAGUAAUGUGAGAAUGUCCUGAAAAUGUGUCCUUUGUAAAGGUUAUGGAAAGUGCUUUGAACAAUAACUGUCAGCAUUGGGUUGAAGAAGUUAUUUGAGUCGUUAAGCUGCAGAUGGCAUAGCCAUUCAUCGGAUGAUAGUAAUGAAGGAUGCUUGGAGUUAUUUGUAUCUGCAUGUAAAUGUUUUGUUAAAAGUAGGUGAGUUUUGCUAGCCUGAUACAUUUAUGUAUCCCACUGGGAGCGCUGGCCCACUAAGAUGCCAUGGUUGCUCUACAUAAUUAUAAUGGGAAGGUCCCUGUAAACUCAUUAAUAUUUCUGUGAGUUUAAAAUGUAUCUUGUGUUCUCACUUCCUUCAUACUCGAGAGAGAUCAGUCUAGUUCUAGUGUUUAUUGCAUGUCUUUAAAGGGGGUAGUUUCCCAAAAUGAAAAUUGUCAUCAUUCAUGAUGUUCCAAACCUAUGUGACUUUCUUCUGUAAAAAAAUAAAUAAAUANUAAUAACAAUAAUAAAACUAGUACAAAGUAGUCCAGGUCUUAGUACAGUAGUCCGGUUCUUCACAUAAAGCUAUCUUGGAGAACAACACAGAGUUCAACAACUGCAGUCUUCUGAAACCAAAGAUAGCUUUACGUGAAGAACAGAUCUGAAAGUUAAGUUAUUCAAUUAUGAUCUUCCCUACUGGUGAGCUGUUCCUCAAGAAUUGCUGUGACCAGAUUAUUGCGUCAUCAUGUGUUUGGUUCUUGAAAGAAUCAGUUUGACUUAUGAAAGAAUCAGUGUACUUCCUAAAAGAAUCCUUCUGUCCAGUUUGUAUACCAUAACAACUGGUUCAUUGACAAAUCAGCGCAGUUUGUCAGGGAAUCAUUCUGUCCAGUUUGUAAACUGUAACAACUGACCUAUUGGAGAAUCAGUAAAAUUCUGAAAUAAUUAUUGUCUCAUUUUUUUUAACAUUAACAACAAAUUAAUUAAAGAAACAGUGCAAUUUGUGAAAUAAUAAUUUUGUUUAAUAUACAUAAUUGUUCAAAAUAAUCAUUCAUUCACUGAUCCCAUUUCAC
ensembl:lncRNA